rnacentral:rRNA from 1 species
UACGAAGGGGGCUAGCGUUGUUCGGAAUUACUGGGCGUAAAGCGCACGUAGGCGGACUAUUAAGUCAGGGGUGAAAUCCCGGAGCUCAACUCCGGAACUGCCUUUGAUACUGGUAGCCUAGAGAUCGGAAGAGGUGAGUGGAAUUCCCAGUGUAGAGGUGAAAUUCGUAGAUAUUGGGAAGAACACCGGCGGCGAAAGCGGUUCUCUGGAUCGAUACUGACGCUAAGACGCGAAAGCGUGGGGAGCAAACAGG